GUUUGAUCAUGGCUCAGGAUGAACGCUAGCGGGAGGCUUAAUACAUGCAAGUUGAGCGGUAACCGGCUUAUAGCAAUAUAAGUUGGCUAGAGCGGCGCACGGGUGAGUAACGCGUACAUAACCUACCCUAUACAGGGGGAUAGCCUUGGGAAACUGAGAUUAAUACCCAAUAGCAUUGCGGUGUCGCCUGACACUGCAAUUAAAGUUGCGGCGGUAUAGGAUGGGUGUGCGUCUGAUUAGCUAGUUGGUAGGGUAACGGCCUACCAAGGCGAUGAUCAGUAGGGGGCGUGAGAGCGUGGACCCCCACACGGGUACUGAGACACGGACCCGACUCCUACGGGGGGCAGCAGUAAGGAAUAUUGGUCAAUGGAGGAAACUCUGAACCAGCCAUCCCGCGUGAAGGAUGAAGGGGCUCUGCCUUGUAAACUUCUUUUGUCUGGGGCGAAAAAGCUCGAUUUGUCGAGAACUGACGGUACCAGAAGAAUAAGCACCGGCUAACUCCGUGCCAGCAGCCGCGGUAAUACGGAGGGUGCAAGCGUUAUCCGGAAUCACUGGGUUUAAAGGGUGCGUAGGCGGCUUAGUAGGUCAGUGGUGAAAGGCUGUGGCUUAACCAUGGAAUUGCCAUUGAUACUGCUGAGCUUGAAUAAGGUUGAGGUUGGCGGAAUGUGUAAUGUAGCGGUGAAAUGCUUAGAUAUUACACAGAACACCGAUUGCGAAGGCAGCUUGCUGGACCAUUACUGACGCUGAUGCACGAAAGCGUGGGGAUCGAACAGGAUUAGAUACCCUGGUAGUCCACGCCGUAAACGAUGAUCACUCGCUGUUAGCGAUACACUGUUAGCGGCUAAGCAAAAGCAUUAAGUGAUCCACCUGGGGAGUACGG
rnacentral:rRNA from 1 species